CCGCGGUAAUACGGAGGGUGCGAGCGUUAAUCGGAUUUACUGGGCGUAAAGCGUGCGUAGGCGGCUUUUUAAGUCGGAUGUGAAAUCCCUGAGCUUAACUUAGGAAUUGCAUUCGAUACUGGGAAGCUAGAGUAUGGGAGAGGAUGGUAGAAUUCCAGGUGUAGCGGUGAAAUGCGUAGAGAUCUGGAGGAAUACCGAUGGCGAAGGCAGCCAUCUGGCCUAAUACUGACGCUGAGGUACGAAAGCAUGGGGAGCAAACAGGAUUAGAUACCCUGGUAGUCCAUGCCGUAAACGAUGUCUACUAGCCGUUGGGGCCUUUGAGGCUUUAGUGGCGCAGCUAACGCGAUAAGUAGACCGCCUGGGGAGUACGGUCGCAAGACUAAAACUCAAAUGAAUUGACGGGGGCCCGCACAAGCGGUGGAGCAUGUGGUUUAAUUCGAUGCAACGCGAAGAACCUUACCUGGUCUUGACAUAGUAAGAACUUUCCAGAGAUGGAUUGGUGCCUUCGGGAACUUACAUACAGGUGCUGCAUGGCUGUCGU
rnacentral:rRNA from 1 species